CUUCGGAGCUAGAGACCGGCGCACGGGUGCGUAACGCGUAUGCAAUCUACCUUUUACAGAGGGAUAGCCCAGAGAAAUUUGGAUUAAUACCUCAUAGCAUUAUGAUAUGGCAUCGUAUUAUAAUUAAAGUUCCAACGGUAAAAGAUGAGCAUGCGUCCCAUUAGCUAGUUGGUGUGGUAACGGCACACCAAGGCUACGAUGGGUAGGGGUCCUGAGAGGGAGAUCCCCCACACUGGUACUGAGACACGGACCAGACUCCUACGGGAGGCAGCAGUGAGGAAUAUUGGACAAUGGGCGCAAGCCUGAUCCAGCCAUGCCGCGUGCAGGAUGAAGCAUCUAUGGUGUGUAAACUGCUUUUGUACAGGAAGAAACCCUCCCACGUGUGGGAGAUUGACGGUACUGUAAGAAUAAGGAUCGGCUAACUCCGUGCCAGCAGCCGCGGUAAUACGGAGGAUCCAAGCGUUAUCCGGAAUCAUUGGGUUUAAAGGGUCCGUAGGCGGCCUUAUAAGUCAGUGGUGAAAUCUCUCGGCUCAACCGGGAAAUGGCCAUUGAUACUGUAGGGCUUGAAUUAUUAGGAAGUAACUAGAAUAUGUAGUGUAGCGGUGAAAUGCUUAGAGAUUACAUGGAAUACCAAUUGCGAAGGCAGGUUACUACUAAUGGAUUGACGCUGAUGGACGAAAGCGUGGGUAGCGAACAGGAUUAGAUACCCUGGUAGUCCACGCCGUAAACGAUGGAUACUAGCUGUUGGGCGCAAGUUCAGUGGCUAAGCGAAAGUGAUAAGUAUCCCACCUGGGGAGUACGUUCGCAAGAAUGAAACUCAAAGGAAUUGACGGGGGCCCGCACAAGCGG
rnacentral:rRNA from 1 species